rnacentral:rRNA from 1 species
AUGGCUCAUUACAACAGCCACUGUUUAUUAGAUCUUCCUUCUUACUUGGAUAACUGUGGAAAAUCUAGAGCUAAUACAUGCUUCAAGCUCCAACCUUGCGGAAGGAGCGCGUUUAUUAGAUCAAAACCAAUCGGUCCUUGUGGCCGCCUUGGUGAAUCUGAAUAACUAUGCCGAUCGCACGGUCUAGCACUGGCGACGCAUCUUUCAAAUGUCUGCCUUAUCAACUUUCGAUGGUAGUUUAUGCGCCUACCAUGGUUGUAACGGGUAACGAAGAAUCAGGGUUUGAUUUCGGAGAGGGAGCCUGAGAAACGGCUACCACAUCCAAGGAAGGCAGCAGGCACGCAAAUUACCCACUCCCGGCACGGGGAGGUAGUGACGAAAAAUAACGAGGCGUGUCUCUUCGAGAUUCGCCAUCGGAAUGGGUACAAUUUAAAUCCUUUAACGAGGAACUAUUGGAGGGCAAGUCUGGUGCCAGCAGCCGCGGUAAUUCCAGCUCCAAUAGCGUAUAUUAAAGUUGUUGCGGUUAAAAAGCUCGUAGUUGGAUCUGCGACACAGGACGGCGGUCUGCCACAUGGCGUGUACUGCUGCUCCUGGUCUUAUUUUCUGGUUUUCCCUUGAUGCCCUUCAUUGGGUGUCCUGGGUGGCUGGAGCUUUUACUUUGAAAAAAUUAGAGUGCUCAAAGCAGGCAGUUUGCCUGAAUAGUGGUGCAUGGAAUAAUGGAAUAGGACCUCGGUUCUAUUUUAUUGGUUUUCGGAACCAAGGUAAUGAUUAAGAGGGACAGACGGGGGCAUUCGUAUUGUGGCGCUAGAGGUGAAAUUCUUGGACCGCCGCAAGACGAACUACUGCGAAAGCAUUUGCCAAGAAUGUUUUCAUUAAUCAAGAACGAAAGUUAGAGGUUCGAAGGCGAUCAGAUACCGCCCUAGUUCUAACCGUAAACGAUGCCAACUAGCGAUCCGCAGGAGUUAGAUGUUAUGACUCUGCGGGAAGCUUCCGGGAAACCAAAGUUUUUGGGUUCCGGGGGAAGUAUGGUUGCAAAGCUGAAACUUAAAGGAAUUGACGGAAGGGCACCACCAGGAGUGGAGCCUGCGGCUUAAUUUGACUCAACGCGGGGAAACUCACCCGGCCCGGACACCGUAAGGAUUGACAGACUGAUAGCUCUUUCUUGAUUCGGUGGAUGGUGGUGCAUGGCCGUUCUUAGUUGGUGGAGCGAUUUGUCUGGUUAAUUCCGAUAACGAACGAGACUCUAGCCUACUAACUAGACAGUGAAUUUGGUUGUUCACUGAGCUUCUUAGAGGGACAAGGGGUAACUAACCCCACGAAAUUGAGCAAUAACAGGUCUGUGAUGCCCUUAGAUGUUCGGGGCCGCACGCGCGCUACAAUGAAGCAGUCAACGUGCUUUUGAUCCUUUUCUGGAAAGAAUGGGUAACCAUUCAAACUGCUUCGCGCUUGGGAUAGGGAAUUGCAAUUAUUUCCCUUGAACGAGGAAUUCCUUGUAAGUGCGAGUCAUCAUCUCGCGUUGAAUACGUCCCUGCCCUUUGUA